CUUGACAUUUUUAGUGAAACUCAAAAUUAAAAUGUUAGUAAAACAACAAGAACGGUUCUUUCUACCCGCCUAAAGUGACAUUUAAUAUGUAGACCGGCUUGGUUUUAAUACUAAGAUAGGAGAAUGGGUAAAUUUGUAGUGAGUAUAAAGUAAAUAAAGAAGGGCUGAAACGAGUUAUUGAAUGACAAUGAUGAUGAAGAGGAGCGCUAUAGGCCCUCGUCGUCCCUCAAAGAUUCGCAAUGAUGGUUGGGGAUAGGUUCGAAGCAUCAUCACUCGUUAUUCAAUUUUCAGUUUGGACCAUUUUCAUU
rnacentral:lncRNA from 1 species